rnacentral:tRNA from 15 species
GGCCAAUUAGCUCAGUCGGUAGAGCAAGUGACUGAAAAUCACUGUGUCCUUGGUUCGAUUCCGAGAUUGGCCACCA